AAUGGAAAAUCGCUUGGUUAAAACCUGACACUUAACAGGUAUGUGUUGUUUUAGUACUUUAUGAUUGAGCAUAGCAUUUAAUCCACACCUAGACUAAACCGAAUUUUUUUUGUCAUUGAACAGCAUUCUGAGUGUGGACGAGUAGCCAGUGAAGAUAAUGAAUGUCGGAUGUCACUGACUAGCAGCUUCAUUUUGAAGUAGGUUGUAUGGCUUAAAAGUUCUGUAGUGUUUGUACUGUAAUACUUGCCUUUUAGCUUUACCUUGGUUUGUGGUCAGUGUCACAGAAGUGCAGUUUAAUGUGUGUACAUGUACAAGGUCUCAUUGGUCUAAUCAAUGAUGAAACCUAUCCCGAAGCUGAUAACCUGAAGAAAAAUAAGUACGGAUUCGGCUUCUGAGAUUAAGACCAGUAAUUCAGAGGUGGAGUAAAUUUUGUUGCCGUGAUUUUUUAACAGUUGUGUUAUAAAAUCCUGGGGUUUUUUUUUUUUCUGCCAACAGUGAGGGUCGCUGUCUGCCCAUUGAUAGAGGCCAGAUUGUCUUGGAAGUUCCAAAGUUGCAACGAUUUCUGGCUAGUGCCACGAGGUUUACUUGACUGUUGUGUGAAAAGCUGAUAAGAAAACCAUCCAGAAAACAGCUCUUCGUUUUACAAACAUGAAAAUAAAACAUGUAAUUUUGGA
rnacentral:sRNA from 1 species